rnacentral:rRNA from 1 species
GCNANACUGCAGUCGACGAAACUUCUUUAUCACCGAGUGCUUGCACUCACCGAUAAAGAGUUGAGUGGCGAACGGGUGAGUAACACGUGGGCAACCUGCCCAAAAGAGGGGGAUAACACUUGGAAACAGGUGCUAAUACCGCAUAACCAUAGUUACCGCAUGNNAACUAUGUAAAAGGUGGCUAUGCUACCGCUUUUGGAUGGGCCCGCGGCGCAUUAGCUAGUUGGUGAGGUAAAGGCUUACCAAGGCAAUGAUGCGUAGCCGAACUGAGAGGUUGAUCGGCCACAUUGGGACUGAGACACGGCCCAAACUCCUACGGGAGGCAGCAGUAGGGAAUCUUCCACAAUGGGCGAAAGCCUGAUGGAGCAACGCCGCGUGGGUGAAGAAGGUCUUCGGAUCGUAAAACCCUGUUGUUAGAGAAGAAAGUGCGUGAGAGUAACUGUUCACGUUUCGACGGUAUCUAACCAGAAAGCCACGGCUAACUACGUGCCAGCAGCCGCGGUAAUACGUAGGUGGCAAGCGUUAUCCGGAUUUAUUGGGCGUAAAGGGAACGCAGGCGGUCUUUUAAGUCUGAUGUGAAAGCCUUCGGCUUAACCGGAGUAGUGCAUUGGAAACUGGGAGACUUGAGUGCAGAAGAGGAGAGUGGAACUCCAUGUGUAGCGGUGAAAUGCGUAGAUAUAUGGAAGAACACCAGUGGCGAAAGCGGCUCUCUGGUCUGUAACUGACGCUGAGGUUCGAAAGCGUGGGUAGCAAACAGGAUUAGAUACCCUGGUAGUCCACGCCGUAAACGAUGAAUGCUAAGUGUUGGAGGGUUUCCGCCCUUCAGUGCUGCAGCUAACGCAAUAAGCAUUCCGCCUGGGGAGUACGA